GACGGUUCCUUCUACCAAUAUUAUUAAUGACAAGUUUUCAGGCUAAUUGUUGGUAUCCCUGCAGCAUAAGAUAAGUUUUGACAUAGGGUAGAUGUGGCAACGUUUCAAAUGGAAGGUAACGUUAGAUAGAAAUCAGUUAGGCUGGUCUCUGGUACAGUGAAAUCGGGAAUGGCAGAAAAGCAGGCUGGUCCUUUAGCGUGAUGACAACUAGAAAUGACAUGAACUGCUACAUGCGAUCACGAGUGAUUCGAUCACGUUCGUUCGCAAUCAGGCUUAUUCUUCAUAGUAAUUUGUGAUUCUUCGCGAUUGCUUCUGAUUCACGGAGAGCGUAACUGCUUCUUUCCACGCAUCACAUAAGCUGUAUAUUUUGUAUAGACCAUGUCAAAUGAAUAUUAGGAUUUUAAAAUCACCAGGAAAAAUUAAUAUUUUAUUUCUUAAAAUUCCGAUAUGAGAGACGAAGCAAAGAAAAUUGAAUUAUUUGUCGUUUUUAAUAUCGAAUAAAGUACGAUUUACGUUAUAUGCAAAAAACGUAGCGUAAUCUUGAAGUUACAUCAUAUGCAGAUAUUUUUUAUACAAGCUACAUCAAAGUAUUUCGUAAGGAAUAAUUCGAUCAAGAUCAAAAAUUACGAUCACGAUGAUCGAGUACCAUAAUCGAAUGAUCAUGAUUCUGUGAUCACAAUGAUAGAUCACUGUCAGUGAUUUUGCACGCCACCUUUAACACUAACUUUACCAGGUCCGGUUUCAAAAUUUUAUUUAAAAUCGUGUAUUCAUUGUUAUUUAUUUUCUUGUUCGUCUAAUUUUAUGUGAAUUUUCAUAUUAUCUAAUUAAUCAAUUUCCCAAUUUUUGUUAAUAUAUGAUUAUACAUGAAAUUAGAUGAACAAAGGAAAUAACGAUGAAUGUACAAUUUUAAAUUAAAUUUUGAAACCAGGCCUCGUAAGGUUAGUGUUAAUGAUAACAUCUUUCGCUGCUAUAAUUUAUAGCAUAGCUGUGUAGCGUUGGUCAAACCUGAAAGAAUUUCUUCAAACAAAUGGACGAUCCCAAAAAAGAUUUGGUAUUUUCAUUUUACAUUACUCUCGGACAAGAUUGUCAUAGAUCACGUGGAUUAGUAUAUGUAUAUUUGUCAUUUGUGCAUACCAUAUCUUAUCUAUGUUAACCAGUUAGUUGUUUUUGACAAGUAUAUUUGUCAUGAAGAAAUGGCAAUAUUUUGUGUUACGACGAGCUCUGUCGGUAAUAAAAUUAAAAAAUAAAACAGACAUUUCGUUACAACUUAAUUCUAUAUUAUAACAGCAACGCAUACUCUAUGUUCGACGAGUAUACUCAUCAUUGCGUAAUUUUUGCGAUACGUUUUAGGUACACACUUUUCAAAGUUUUCAAAGAGAUCGCAAUAGUCAACUGGUUAAAAAGAUGACGCCACUUGCGAUCAAUGCGACGCGACUCUACGAUAGAUCAGUGUCAUCAAUCCACCACGUAUUUAAAUAACUUUCGUAAUGACCAAAAUUAGCAUCGGUGUUGGCUAAAUAAAUCUAUGGUCCUGUGAAAAAAGAGAUUUCAACGAAUACCUCGAUAUUUUUCCAAACUGGACACGACGAGUUUUCAUACUAUAUGUUGCAUAUCUGCGUCUCAUUUAACACCAAGAACUAGAGCUCGAUCGAGAGUAAACCGAGAAGCACCGUAGACUUGUUUGUCGAGGAAGACUCAUAUCUCCAUCGUAUAACAUAACGUGUUUACACUGCAGAUGAAUUCGUCAGGAAACGCUUUGGACUGUUACGGUGAAAUACGUUGUGAUUUGUUGCUACGAAUCUUCGUUACGCGAAUACACCGUAGCAGCUCGAUGAGAAAUGAAUUAUGAUUUCAGUAUACGACAUCGACACUGAUAAACAUCUACCUACGUGUUGGCUUAGAUAGCGACAGUGGAAUUGAUAUUGAGAAUAACAGAAAGUGAGAGAGAAAGGGAGAGUGUUCCAGGUUUAAUAGCCAAACUUUGCCAGUGUACGAUAUGAGCAGAUAGUCAAGCCAAAAAAUAUUAUAUAAACAUAGGUCUUUUAAAGCUUUAUUGAAAACUUUAAACAAAUAUUGUAUAUUAAUAAUUUACUUGUACUUUAGGUCCAUAACCUGUUACAAGCAGGUUGUUGUAUUCUUAUUUCUAACUUCUUACACUAUAUUUAUAUUCUUACAUUGAGCUCUUUAGUUAGUAUAUUGUAUUCUUAUUGUGUUUAUAUUAUAUUUUAUUCUGUAAUGUUAUAUUAUUUAACUCAUUUUUAAUUAGUAUGUAUAGUACAUAUAUAUGACCACACAUAUAUCAUAUAUAUGUGUGUACAUAUUAUGUAGCUGUAAAAAAUAAGAAUAAAAGUACGAAUAAUUUAUCACAUA